UACGUAGGGUGCUAGCGUUAAUCGGAAUUACUGGGCGUAAAGGGAGCGUAGGCGGAUUUGUAAGUCAGGUGUGAAAUUCUAAAGCUUAACUUUAGAGCUGCACUUGAAACUAUAGAUCUUUUGAGGUAUGGAGGGGAAAGCGGAAUUCCACGAGUAGCGGUGAAAUGCGUAGAUAUGUGGAAGAACACCAGUGGCGAAAAGCGGCUUUCUAUCUUAAACCUGACGCUGAGGCUCGAGAGCAAGGGGAGCAAAACAGG
rnacentral:rRNA from 1 species